CCUACGGGUGGCAGCAGUGAGGAAUAUUGGUCAAUGGGCGAGAGCCUGAACCAGCCAAGUCGCGUGAAGGAUGAAGGAUCUAUGGUUUGUAAACUUCUUUUAUAUGGGAAUAAAGUGAGGAACGUGUUCCUUUUUGUAUGUACCAUAUGAAUAAGCAUCGGCUAACUCCGUGCCAGCAGCCGCGGUAAUACGGAGGAUGCGAGCGUUAUCCGGAUUUAUUGGGUUUAAAGGGUGCGUAGGUGGUUAAUUAAGUCAGCGGUGAAAGUUUGUGGCUCAACUAUAAAAUUGCCGUUGAUACUGGUUGACUUGAGUAUAUUUGAGGUAGGCGGAAUGCGUGGUGUAGCGGUGAAAUGCAUAGAUAUCACGCAGAACUCCGAUUGCGAAGGCAGCUUACUAAACUAUAACUGACACUGAAGCACGAAAGCGUGGGGAGCAAACAGGAUUAGAUACCCCAGUAGUC
rnacentral:rRNA from 1 species